UCUCGGUGAUGAGAACUUUGUCCAGUUCUGCUGCUGAUGUCACAAGUGAGGAUAAAGUGUAUCUGAGGAGA